UGGGCAACCUGCCCUAUACUGGGGAAUAAUCACUGGAAACGGUGACUAAUACCGCAUGUCAUCACGAGAAGGCAUCUUUUUGUUGAGAAAAGGAGUAAUUCGGUAUAGGAUGGGCCCGCAUCUGAUUAGCUAGUUGGUGAGAUAACAGCCCACCAAGGCGACGAUCAGUAGCCGACCUGAGAGGGUGAUCGGCCACAUUGGGACUGAGACACGGCCCAA
rnacentral:rRNA from 1 species